CAAAUCAUUUCCCCUACAACUAAUUAAAAGAUAAUAAUUUAGUUUGCUCAUAAUUAUUGUUUUGUUAAUAUAAAAAUAUUUACUGGCCCAUUUUCCAAAUGCAAAUUUAUCUUCCCCUUUACGGGACAUAAUCAUUAGCAAAACCAAACUCAUUUACAUACAAACAUAGAAGAUUGAAACGUAUACAUUUUUGCCUUCCCUAUAUUAUCUUUUUAUCUUAUAAUCCCAUUUAUAACCACACAAUAACAGUUACCCCUAACAUAGAAAUUUAUUUUCCCUUUUUUGACAUUGUGGCUAUGGUACAUUCACCAAAUACCGAUGCCUUAGCCCCUAGACCUAUAAAUUAUCACAAUCCAGAAGAGAAGAAUCGUAUCCAAAAAAGCAAAGUAUAGAUCUGAAAUUCGUAGAUUCAACCUCCUGUAGUCACUUGCAUCCAUCACAUAUCAUAAGGUAUGACCUUCCAUACCCAAACUCCAAUCUUUAGGGUAAAAUCAUUUGCUUUUGCUUCGAUCUCUUAUGUCUCAAACAACGAUGUGUUUCUUAAUAAAUUUCUUCUAUAUAUUUAAUCCAAUAUCGUUUGGUUCCUCUUUGGUGACCUAGCCUUUGAUUCCGACAUUCCUGUUACCACUCACCAUAUGUAUCCUAACAAGUUAUUGUUGUGUUAUGUGGCCUUUAGUGUUGACUGUUGAGAAAUAAGAUCUCUAUGUGAAAGCAGAAAGAUGGUUUGUGCAUUUUAACAUUUUUUUAUUCACUUGACCCAG